GAUUAUGGCUCAGGAUGAACGCUAGCUACAGGCUUAACACAUGCAAGUCGAGGGGCAGCAUAUUGGUAGCUUGCUACUAAUGAUGGCGACCGGCGCACGGGUGAGUAACGCGUAUCCAACCUUCCCUAUACUAGAGGAUAGCCCGGCGAAAGUCGGAUUAAUACUCUAUGUUCUUCGUAGAUGACAUCUGAAAUGAAGCAAAGGUUUACCGGUAUAGGAUGGGGAUGCGUCUGAUUAGGUUGUUGGCGGGGUAACGGCCCACCAAGCCUACGAUCAGUAGGGGUUCUGAGAGGAAGGUCCCCCACAUUGGUACUGAGACACGGACCAAACUCCUACGGGAGGCAGCAGUGAGGAAUAUUGGUCAAUGGGCGCGAGCCUGAACCAGCCAAGUAGCGUGCAGGGAACCGACUGCCCUAUGGGUUGUAAACUGCUUUUAUCAGGGAAUAAAGUGAGGCACGCGUGCCUUUUUGUAUGUACCUGAUGAAUAAGGACCGGCUAAUUCCGUGCCAGCCGCAGC
rnacentral:rRNA from 1 species